CCUACGGGCGGCAGCAGUGAGGCAUAUUGGUCAAUGGGCGGAAGCCUGAACCAGCCAAGUAGCGUGCAGGAUGACGGCCCUACGGGUUGUAAACUGCUUUUAUACGGGAAUAACGCGCCUUACGUGUAGGGCUUUGCAUGUACCGUAUGAAUAAGGACCGGCUAAUUCCGUGCCAGCAGCCGCGGUAAUACGGAGGGUCCGGGCGUUAUCCGGAUUGAUUGGGUUUAAAGGGAGCGUAGGCGGCAUGUCAAGCGUGCUGUGAAAUGUCCGGGCUCAACCCGGGCCUUGCAGCGGGGACUGGCGUGCUUGAGUCCGCGGAAGGCAGGCGGAAGUCGUCGUGUAGCGGUGAAAUGCUUAGAUAUGACGAAGAACCCCGAUUGCGAAGGCAGCUUGCUGCAGCGGAACUGACGCUGAUGCUCGAAAGCGCGGGUAUCGAACAGGAGUAGAUACCCCAGUAGUC
rnacentral:rRNA from 1 species